rnacentral:tRNA from 1 species
UCUUUGUUAGUAUAUCGGUUAGUACACGCGCUUGUCAUUCUAAUGUCCGCGCGAAAGCUGGGUUCGAUUCCCAGACAGAGAG